rnacentral:rRNA from 1 species
UACGUAGGUGGCAAGCGUUGUCCGGAAUUAUUGGGCGUAAAGCGCGCGCAGGCGGUCCUUUAAGUCUGAUGUGAAAGCCCACGGCUCAACCGUGGAGGGUCAUUGGAAACUGGGGGACUUGAGUACAGAAGAGAAGAGUGGAAUUCCACGUGUAGCGGUGAAAUGCGUAGAGAUGUGGAGGAACACCAGUGGCGAAGGCGACUCUUUGGUCUG